AUUGAACGCUGGCGGCAUGCUUUACACAUGCAAGUCGAACGGUAACAGGCCUUCGGGCGCUGACGAGUGGCGAACGGGUGAGUAAUGCAUCGGAACGUGCCCAGUCGUGGGGGAUAACGCAGCGAAAGCUGUGCUAAUACCGCAUACGAUCUGUGGAUGAAAGCGGGGGACCUUCGGGCCUCGCGCGAUUGGAGCGGCCGAUGUCAGAUUAGGUAGUUGGUGGGGUAAAGGCUCACCAAGCCAACGAUCUGUAGCUGGUCUGAGAGGACGACCAGCCAGACUGGGAAUGAGACACGGGCCCGACUCCUACGGGAGGCAGCAGUGGGGAAUUUUGGACAAUGGGCGCAAGCCUGAUCCAGCAAUGCCGCGUGCAGGAAGAAGGCCUUCGGGUUGUAAACUGCUUUUGUACGGAACGAAACGGUCCUGGUUAAUACCUGGGGCUAAUGACGGUACCGUAAGAAUAAGCACCGGCUAACUACGUGCCAGCCGCCGCAGUAAUAC
rnacentral:rRNA from 1 species